rnacentral:rRNA from 1 species
UAGUUGCCAGCGGGUCGAUGCCGGGGACGUCUAGCGGAACUGCCAGCGUAAGCUGCGAGGAAGGUGGGGAGUGACGUCAAAUCAGCACGGCCCUUACGUCCAGGGCUACACACGUGUUACAAUGGCCAGUACAGAGGGCAGCCACCCCGCGAGGGGGCGCUAAUCCUAAAAGCUGGUCCCAGUUCGGAUCGGAGUCUGCAACCCGACUCCGUGAAGCUGGAUUCGCUAGUAAUCGCGCAUCAGCCACGGCGCGGUGAAUACGUUCCCGGGCCUU